rnacentral:rRNA from 1 species
CGUAGAGAUUGGGAAGAACACCGGUGGCGAAAGCGCUCUGCUAGGCCAAAACUGACACUGAGGGACGAAAGCUAGGGGAGCGAAUGGGAUUAGAUACCCCAGUAGUCCUAGCCGUAAACGAUGGAUACUAGGUGUAGCUUGUAUCGACCCAAGCUGUGCCGUAGCUAACGCGUUAAGUAUCCCGCCUGGGGAGUACGCGCGCAAGCGUGAAACUCAAAGGAAUUGACGGGGGCCCGCACAAGCGGUGGAGUAUGUGGUUUAAUUCGAUGCAACGCGAAGAACCUUACCAGGACUUGACAUGUCGCGAAUCCCACUGAAAGGUGGGAGUGCCUUCGGGAGCGCGAACACAGGUGGUGCAUGGCUGUCGUCAGCUCGUG